CAUGGAUGCGGAGGCACAUUCGGCCCCCGAACGUGGUCUGGCCAGCCACUAUAAAAGGGUCCCUUAGCCGAAAACGGGCGAGCUUUUUCCCCAUUUUCGGCCAAGGUGAGCUUUCCGCCGUCCCUCACCCAUUUUUGAUGUUCUUCCUCUAACUCUUUCAAGAUUUUCACUUGUUUUCACUUGGUUUGGAAGAUUUAAGCUUUUGAAACAAGUUUUGGAGCUUUGGGAACUCAGGAGCUCAUUUUCGUGGAUCUCCAAGUUUAGAUCGUCUCCCUCUCGAUCUUCAAGAGGUAAGAGCCGAUCUUAAGCUCCUUAUGUGUUUUAAAUAAGUUUUAUGCAAGAUCUAUGGGUAGAAAUGCAUGUUAGGUUAUAUGUUGAGUUUAUGGGUUAUAUUGAUGUUUUGAACAAUGUGGCUUGCUUGAGUAUGUUUGAAGUGUUGUAGUUGGGGUGUUUGAUGUUUUGAGACCCCUAGGAACUUGUAUGCAUGAUUUGGUUGAGAUAUAUGCUUGAUUUGAGGUUUUGGGAGGCAAGGGGUUCAUGUGAACCAAGUUUCUGCCCUUCUGGCAGAAACCAG
rnacentral:lncRNA from 1 species